rnacentral:rRNA from 1 species
GACGAACGCUGGCGGCGUGCUUAACACAUGCAAGUCGAACGGGUCUGCCCUGUUUUUUGCGGGGUGGGUCAGUGGCGAACGGGUGAGUAACACGUGAGUAACCUGCCCCUCACUUCUGGAUAACCGCUUGAAAGGGUGGCUAAUACGGGGUGUUCUGGCUGUGCCGCAUGGUGUGGCUGGGAAAGAUUCACUUUUGUGGUGUUUUGGUGGGGGAUGGGCUCGCGGGCUAUCAGCUUGUUGGUGGGGGGAUGGCCUGCCAAGGCUUUGACGGGUAGCCGGCCGGAGAGGGUGGGCGGUCACACUGGGACUGAGAUACGGCCCAGACUCCUGCGGGAGGCAGCAGUGGGGGGUAUUGCACAAUGGGCGGAAGCCUGAUGCAGCGACGUCGCGUGAGGGAUGGAGGCCUUCGGGUUGUGAACCUCUUUCGCCGGUGAAGAAGGUCCUGCUCUUUGUGGUGGGGUUGACGGUAGCCGGGUUAUGAAGCGCCGGCUAACUACGUG